GCCGCCACCGCCCAUCGAGGCCGCUUCCGUCGCGCCGGGCGGGCGGGCGAUGGCGGCGCAGUUCCGCAGCUACGUGUGGGACCCGGCGCUGAUCGUGGCGCAGAUGGUGCUGCUGCAGGCCGCCUACUACAGCUCGCUCGGGCUCUGGCUCGCUCUCCUCGGCGCCUUCGGCAGCACCGGGCCUUCCCUGCAUCAGAUCUUCAGCGAUGAGAUUCUAGGCUUCUCGACUCCGCCUGGGAGGCUCUCCAUGAUGGCUUUUGUCCUCAAUGCACUCACCUGUGCUCUGGGCUUGCUGUACUUUAUCCGGCGAGGAAAGCAGUGCUUGGAUUUCACAGUCACAGUUCACUUCUUCCAUCUGCUGGGCUGCUGGAUUUAUAACUCGCACUUUCCCUCGACUCUGACGUGGUGGCUGGUGCACAUUGUGUGCACGGCACUGAUGGCUGCAAUUGGGGAGUACCUCUGCAUGAGGAUAGAACUUAGGGAAAUCCCACUGAAUUCUGCUCCCAAAUCCAAUGUGUAACUUGCUCUGGCAACAACAUGCUGCACUGCGUCAUUGUUUCCAGCACAAGUACAUCUAAUGCCUGAAAGUCAUCACUGAAGAAGCACAGCAGGUGAGAAACCGCCGCUUGUUUCCGAGAGAGGUAGGAUGUGCUUUCUUCUAGAGGCGCUUCCAGUAACCCCACGCACGGGGCGCUCACAAACACCGGCAUCGCUGCUAGGAGGUAAGGCCGAGCGGUUCCCUCGGGACCCGCAGCCCGCACAGGCAGAGCUGCAUCCUGCAGGGCGGCCACUGCGGGGCGUUUGGUUUGCAAGAACCUGAAAGGGGGCAAGGCGUGUUCUGAAGGAAGAAUUUCUGCUGUGCACAUCUGGCUGUGGUAGUUUUAUUUUGUACGUUAAUGUUUGUAAAUGUUAAUUUGUGCAAACUGCCUGCUAAUUUGGCUUGUUGAGAAUUGAUGGGAUGAUUUGAGUUGCAGAUGAGAAAUUCUUUGAAGUUGCUCUUUUGUGUUACUGGGGGAACCGUAUUUCAAGUCCUACUUCCACAUUCUGUGAAUUUGGGCAGAUUGAUAUCAAAGUGUUUUAAAUACCUGGCAAGUUUGUUGCAGAGAAGGAAGUGUUGCAGGUUACAUGUGCUUAGGCACAGCUUCUGGUGGUCUGAGAUUUCACCAAAACCUCUUCCUGACCAAAACCCCUUAAAGCUCAAUUUUAGUGCUAUCAUAUGGAUAGCAGCAGUCUUUCAGAUGAAGAAGUUAACACAAGUUCAGCUGUCAUUUGUUACUGCUUCCCCUCUAACUCUGCUGUGCGUUCAGCAAGGCUUUUCAUCGCUGCUCCAGGCUUUUUGGUUUCUCAUAUUUGAGGAUCCUUGCUUUCCUUCCUGUCACGUUCAGCCUAGCAGCAGCGCUCGGCCUUCCAGUAGGUGCCAGUAUCUCCUUCUGAAAGGAGAUGUGCAUGCGUGGUUGGGAUCCGGGCAGCAGAGGGCAGAGGGCACGCAAUGCCUUGGGGCUGCCAGAAUCCAGCUCGGAAUCGGUUGUAUUUUAAGGCUCUUUCAGGGUCAUUUUGUUCCCUCUCAGUACCAACAGCAAACAGCAGGGGAAGACAUCUCAGUUCUCUGGGAACAGGCAGAGGAAGGGAAGUCGCAGUACCCCCAUUCCUUAAAGGAAAAUGGACAGCUGACCCUGGGGUUGUUGAGCUUGUAUUAAAGAGAUGCUACCUUCGUUCUCCUGGAAGAACAAGGAAGAAAACUUCAGACCAAAGAAUGCUUCCUUCCUUACUUUCUGAACGAUAAGAUAGGCUUUGAGUGCUUCAAUGACCACCCCUGCAGGAGGAUGUGAAGUUUUGAUGCAGCCUUGUGGCUGGAGAUCCUUAGGCAGAGCAGGGCCAUGAGAAGAGUCCUUGGUGCACCUGGAUUUAGUGCUGAGGCUGUGGGACAUCCAACACACUGCAUUGCAUUAGCAUGAAGCAUGCUAUGGGAAUAGAAAGGCUUUUAGGUCUGCUCCCUUUGAGAAUUAAAUCCAAAUAGUGCUUUUUUUUUUUUUUAAUGAAGAAAACUUACUGUAGUUGUCUGAGUUACAAGGGAAGUUUUGCUAAAAACUACACACAGAUUGAGGAGGGAGCUUCUGAAAUUCAUCACUGCCAUAUUGUGAGACCUAGUUUUCACUUGCAUACAUUCAGUUAGAUCUUAGCAGCACCUUUGGCUUUAAGAAUUUCUGCUGCUCCAUACCUGAAUGGUGGCAGAUGGUCUUUGCUUCUUAAUGAAACUUUUUUUCAUGUGUGUAAUGGAUUGAAUUAUUUGCUUCCAGGGAAGAUUUUCCACAACACCUGCUCUUCUCACAGACAGCAGUAGCAUCAGCUAGCCAUCUGCAACCAAGGUUUUGCAAAUGAUGACUUCUAGGAGAUCUCUGCUCAGACUUUUACAUUCCCCUUCCCCAAAGCCAUCCAAACACUGAAAAUGUUAAGAGAAGCUGCCAAAUUCAAAGAGAAGCUAAGGAAGGGAAAUGUUGAGAGCUGUGCUUUGUCUCCCUAGAGGUAUAAAACCCCUAUUCAAAACAAAGAUAGUAUAGUGAGCUGGAUACAAAGAUUGCAGCCUCAGAUGCCCACCUGCUCAGCUUUCCCCCCCACUACGAACCAUAAGCAGAAGAGGGAAGGGAGAACAGCAUGGAAUAGCAUACACUGUUGUUGGAGCAGAGCAGGGAGGAGAACCAAAGCAGCGUUGUGGUUCAGAGCGGGCUCUGCAGUGCCCUGGCUCACCCUUUCUCCACUGCCUGUUGUCAGGCAUUGUGCCAGAGAUGCUGAGUACAUGAGUAACUCGUCUGCUGAAGGCCUGGGUUCAGCCUUGCUCUGGAGUGCUGUCUGAACACCAGCUGCUCCUCCCCAUCUCAGUUCUUGGAAUUUGCCUCCAUUCAUUCAUUCCAUCCUGCAGCUGCAGGAGCUGAAUGGGUAAAUGAGAGAGUAGUAAGAGGAAAAGCAUGAGUGCCAGGAGAGGAACGCGAGCAGUCAUUAAAAAACCCCAAACCACUAUUCCUGUCCUAAAAACAAAGCAAGUGCCCUGACAUGUGGCCAGUCUGAAAACAGCCAGAGUGAUGUGUGACAUAUUUAGGUAAGGCAGACUGAAAUACCCUGUUAGUUAAACACAGACAUUUCAAACGUGAUGAAAAACAGAUGGUUCUCUUAAUUAGAAGAUGAAAUUCACAGCCACAUCCAGCUGUUAAGCUCUAAUACAGAGCGUGAUGAAAACCAGCUCCUUCCCCAUUCAGGAGUGGCAGUACUCUGUGGGGCAUGAACUGAAAGCAGGGGAAAGACCAAGACUCACUGUGCUUCUCCUGGGAGAACCACUGGCCCCAGGCCACACUGGAUCCCCGUGGCUCCUCCUCCCCUACACAGUAAGGCAGGGCAGGGCUUUUUUAGUGUCCUUGCACACACAACUGCACUGUAUUCCCAAUAACAGUCUUUCUAGCAUACCCAGAAAUUGCAUGCAAGCACCUCUAGGGCAAAUACUUUCUGUGCUUGUACCAAAGCUGCAAAACUAACAAUGCUCUGAGCUGCAAGGGGGGCUAGAAGAGGCGGCACUGCAAACAGGAGGCAGGACAAAUAGCUUCAAUCUCUGCAACAGAAUUUAAUACUAUAAAAUUACACAGUCACCCACAGAGCUGCUUACAAGAACUACUGGGAAAAACAUCAAAGCAAAAGAGUUACUUUAGAAAGGUUUUGUCACAGUUGCUUAGCAUCAUCUCCCCCCCACCCAAAGAUUUUCUUUCCUCUUCAUUUCCUUAGAAAAGUGAUGUACACAUAACACAGGAAUUACUUGGGAGUCCAGAUGUGUGCUAGGAAAGAGGUCAUGCACCUGUGGCUAUUCUUCAGUGGGGUUUUCAGGGUGUCCUCCCAGAAAGAAAGCCAGCACCUCUGUGCUCUUUGCAGGACGUACACCAUGCCCUGCACCUCACAAGUUUCCAGCACCCAAAUCAAAAACCUGGAGAGCUGACAUUGUGGAAACAGGCAGCUGAACAAACAGGCUUCCAUACAAGAGCCAUGGAAAGGUCCAAAAAGAAUCUGGUAUUUGUGACUCACUUCCCAUUUUCCCCCAAAUCCCCUGCAGGCAGCCAGAGCCCUGCUUGUGCCCUGAGGCCAAAGGGGACAAAUGUCCCAAAUCACAGAGAAAUAGCGAAACCCACGAGAUGCUGCUGAACUCUUCAGAGUCUCACAGACACGGGGCAGAGCUGAGAGUCUGCUGGUACUGCACACUGUGCUCCUCAAAGGUCUGGAAAAGCAAACCAUCAGAAAGGAGCCCCAGUGUGCUGCCAGCACCUUUGCUGUGAUACUUACGGAGCUGGGGUCUAUAAGUUCAGCCAAGUGACAAUGAGGGGGAUGCUAAGAACUGACACAUGGGGAAUGCAGAUACAGGCAAAGCUUUGGGCUGUGCUGGGAUUGCAGAGGUCAAACAGGCUGCCUUGGAAUUUGAUCUUUCGGGACUCCUUCCUCAGCAUCUCCCAGAUGGCUGCUGCUUCCUUCUGGCACUCCCAGAGAGCAGUCAGGGCACAGACAUGAAACUCAUCCCAGUACCUGCAGCAGAGAACCACACCAUUAAUUCCCUUACUGUAUCACAGCAUGAAGGAGCAGGCAGAGCCCAGUCAACCCUGCAAACAUCUGCAGCCUCAAUAUUUUGAGCCCCAGGACCAGCACAGAGAGCAGCCCAACAGGAAACGUUCACUAUUAAGGCUUAAAAGUUCAGCAUCCCAACAGGACUUCAAUGUAGAGCAUGAUGGGUGCAGUCCUGCUGGCCUAGCACACUCCAGCACUAGCCCUGUACUGUGUCUGCCCCUCAGCUCCUGUUUACCUUUGCUGAAGAAGCCAGCUGGCUCUGGAGAAGCUGCUUUUGAGCUGUUCCCAAUAAGCUCUCUGCCCACAGCUGCAGAGCAAUGUGGAUGAGCUGCAGCUGCCCCCAGGU